rnacentral:lncRNA from 1 species
UGGAGUUUAGACAGAAUGCCAACAAUCACUGUUCAGUUGCUGUGGUUUUAUACUCCUUAGAUGAUCUGAAAAUCCCAUAGGCCUUCCAGGGCUACCCUGACACUUCCUCCGGGGAACAAGCUUUCGGGACCAUCUGAGGCUGACCUUUAGUUGGCCAAAGGGCACUAUUUCCUGUUCCUGGCCAGAGCAGUAGGGCCAAAAGAAUCAUGGUUUCCUGCUUCCUGAUGAAAGGACCAUGUGAAGAUCCCACUGGAGUCUUCAACUAUACCACAAGAGGAGACAUGAUCGUCUGCUAGCAGCCUCAAGGAAGCUAUUUCCACAUGUUCACACAACUGGGUAUAGUGUGGAGCCUGUGUGCAUGGGAACUGAGGUUUGACUACUUUUCAAAGCUCUAAUCUGCCUUUUGGUCCACUUCAAGAGCCUUGGGUACAGAGCUCACACCUCUGACAGACAUGUGCUUAUGACACUGGACCAAACUCCGGAAGCAAUCAGUGUGCUUGAAGAUUGAAUCGCUGAAUGAAGAACGAACGAGGAAUGGAGUGUUGUCUUUAUGUUAAAAUGCUUUUGUGAUUUAAAAAAAGAUUAGUUUUAUAAUGUGUUCACGAGCAUGUGUGUAUAUCUGUUUGGCUGUAUGUGCACAUUCACGUAAGUGCCCUUGGAGUCUAGAAAGAGGCAUUGGCUCCCCUGGGGCUCUGUUACAGCCAGUGACAUAGGUGUUAAGGACCCAGCUCAGGUCCCCUGGACAAGAAGUCAAUGCUCUUAACUACUGAACCAUUCCUCCACUCAUUGGGAGUCCUUGGC